AUCCUGGCUUAGGAUGAACGCUAGCGACAGGCUUAACACAUGCAAGUCGAGGGCAGCAUAAAAGUAGCAAUACUUGGUGGCGACCGGCGCACGGGUGAGUAACGCGUAUGCAACCUACCUAUCAGAGGGGAAUAACCCGGCGAAAGUCGGACUAAUACCGCAUAAAACAGGGGCACCGCAUGGUGAUAUUUGUUAAAGAAAUUCGCUGAUAGAUGGGCAUGCGUUCCAUUAGGUAGUUGGUGAGGUAACGGCUCACCAAGCCGACGAUGGAUAGGGGAACUGAGAGGUUGGUCCCCCACACUGGUACUGAGACACGGACCAGACUCCUACGGGAGGCAGCAGUGAGGAAUAUCGGUCAAUGGGCGGGAGCCUGAACCAGCCAAGUCCGCGUGAAGGAAGAAGGAUCUAUGGUUCGUAAACUUCUUUUGCAGGGGAAUAAAGUGCAGGACGUGUCCUGUUUUGUAUGUACCCUGAGAAUAAGGAUCGGCUAACUCCGUGCCAGCCGCGGC
rnacentral:rRNA from 1 species